CCAUUUUUCAUUCUAACAUUUCUAAUAUACAAAAAUUCAAGGAGAUUACAACAAAUUUGCCAGAUCUAUACAACACUCGAAGUCACUAACAAUUGGACAUCAAAAGUUUCAUCAAUUGAAGGCUCAGAUUGAAGAACCCUUUGUAUUCAACACCAAACACCCAUAUUCACCCAAGAAUCCACUUGAACGCACAGUCUCUUCUAUCGACUAGAAGGACGCAACGUUACCACUAAUCUUAGUCUCCUCUUUCACUAAUUUCAUCAAGAAACACUUACUCUCUAAAUAGAUUAAAGAGAAAAACUCAAUAUCAACACGGAAGUUGAAGACGAAAGAGAAAGGACCGAACUCUCCAUAAACCCUCGAAAAAAAAGGAAGAAUGAAAAGUCUCAGGCCGUUGAGAUUCAUCAUAGAAUAUAUACAUCGAGAUUAAAGCAAUAAAUCAUCCAACGGUCCAGAGAAACCUGCGCUUUUGACAUAAGGCAAAACAACCAAAGUCGCACUUGCCAAAUCCGUUCUCAACAGGAUCAGUUAGAUGGGCUUGGGUUCAUUCGGGUUUCUUCAGGUUUUACCAUUUGGGUCAAGAUAUCAAAACAUGGGCUAAGCCUGUCUAAUCAUAUAUUGGGCCAGAAUUGGCAUCAAAACCCAACAGAUCUCCACUUUGAUGCCAGUGGACAUACAAAAACAGAGAACUACAGUUUAUAUAUCUUUCUUUCCAUCCAAGAUUUUAGCUUCUAGUCAUUCCAACUGGCACCCGGUUUAAUGCCUGCACUUAACCAAAACAUUAACCAACAUCAAUGUUCAAAGGAGGUACCUUAGUACCCAUGUCAGC
rnacentral:lncRNA from 1 species